AGUUGAAUUUCAAACAUCUUCAAGCUUCCAACACUGAGAAACACUGUCAUUAACAUGAGAGGAACAACACUGAACAAGUUUGCCCCAUCAUCUUAUCGGUUCAAGGUUGACUCAGCCUUCUAUCUUUCCAAGUUUACCUAUGUUUUUCCUAAAAUGUGGUGCCCAGAAGGGGAUGCAGUAUUCCAGAAGCAAUCUGACCAAUACAGAAUGAAGAGGAGCAAUGACUUUUCUUGAUGUUUACUUUAUUGUUUAUGUUAUGCUGUUGAUGCACCUCAGAAUUAUAUUUGUUUUUUUAAAUGUAUCAAGUCCUAGCUUAUGUUCAGUUUAUGAUCCAAAAGACCACUAGAUCUUGUAUUACUGCCCAGUGUGCUUGUCCCUGUAUCUCCACCCUAUUUGCAUUCGAUUUUUCCUACUUGGAUGAAGAAUAUUUGUCCUCGUUAAAGUUUAUUUGACUGGCUUCUGUCCAUUGCUUACUCUACAUAUCACAAUUGAUUAAAGUAUUGAUUAAAAUAUUA